AUUGAACGCUGGCGGCAUGCUUAACACAUUGCAAGUCGAACGCGAACGGGCUUCGGCCCAAGUAGAGUGGCGGACGGGUGAGUAAUGCGUGGGAAUCUACCCUCGAGCGGGGGACAACCCGGGGAAACCCGGGCUAAUACCGCAUACGUCCUACGGGAGAAAGCGGGCCUCUACACUAUGCUCGCACUCGAGGAUGAGCCCACGUCCGAUUAGCUAGUUGGUAGGGUAACGGCCUACCAAGGCCACGAUCGGUAGCUGGUCUGAGAGGAUGAUCAGCCACACUGGGACUGAGACACGGCCCAGACUCCUACGGGAGGCAGCAGUGGGGAAUAUUGGACAAUGGGCGCAAGCCUGAUCCAGCAAUGCCGCGUGUGUGAAGAAGGCCUGCGGGUUGUAAAGCACUUUCAGUGGGAAGAACGGAUACGGGCCAAUACCCCGCAUCACUGACGUUACCCACAGAAGAAGCACCGGCUAACUCCGUGCCAGCAGCCGCGGUAAAGUA
rnacentral:rRNA from 1 species